GAUGAACGCUGGCGGCGUGCUUAACACAUGCAAGUCGAACGAUGAAGCCCAGCUUGCUGGGUGGAUUAGUGGCGAACGGGUGAGUAACACGUGAGUACCCUGCCCUUGACUCUGGGAUAAGCCUGGGAAACUGGGUCUAAUACUGGAUAUGACUUCUCAUCGCAUGGUGGGGGGUGGAAAGAUUUAUUGGUCUUGGAUGGACUCGCGGCCUAUCAGCUUGUUGGUGAGGUAAUGGCUCACCAAGGCGACGACGGGUAGCCGGCCUGAGAGGGUGACCGGCCACACUGGGACUGAGACACGGCCCAGACUCCUACGGGAGGCAGCAGUGGGGAAUAUUGCACAAUGGGCGCAAGCCUGAUGCAGCGACGCCGCGUGAGGGAUGACGGCCUUCGGGUUGUAAACCUCUUUCAGUAGGGAAGAAGCGAGAGUGACGGUACCUGCAGAAGAAGCGCCGGCUAACUACGUG
rnacentral:rRNA from 1 species